GUCGUAACAAGGUCUCCGUAGGUGAACCUGCGGAGGGAUCAUUACACAAAUAUGAAGGCGGGCUGGAACCUCUCGGGGUUACAGCCUUGCUGAAUUAUUCACCCUUGUCUUUUGCGUACUUCUUGUUUCCUUGGUGGGUUCGCCCACCACUAGGACAAACAUAAACCUUUUGUAAUUGCAAUCAGCGUCAGUAACAAAUUAAUAAUUACAACUUUCAACAACGGAUCUCUUGGUUCUGGCAUCGAUGAAGAACGCAGCGAAAUGCGAUAAGUAGUGUGAAUUGCAGAAUUCAGUGAAUCAUCGAAUCUUUGAACGCACAUUGCGCCUUUUGGUAUUCCAAAGGGCAUGCCUGUUCGAGCGUCAUUUGUACCCUCAAGCUUUGCUUGGUGUUGGGCGUCUUGUCUCUAGCUUUGCUGGAGACUCGCCUUAAAGUAAUUGGCAGCCGGCCUACUGGUUUCGGAGCGCAGCACAAGUCGCACUCUCUAUCAGCAAAGGUCUAGCAUCCAUUAAGCCUUUUUUUCAACUUUUGACCUCGGAUCAGGUAGGGAUACCCGCUGAACUUAAGCAUAU
rnacentral:rRNA from 1 species